CCCAGACUCCUACGGGAGGCAGCAGUGGGGAAUAUUGCACAAUGGGGGGAACCCUGAUGCAGCGACGCCGCGUGGGUGAAGAAGUCAUUCGUGACGUAAAGCCCUAUCAGCAGGGAAGAAAAUGACGGUACCUGACUAAGAAGCCCCGGCUAGCUACGUGCCAGCAGCCGCGGUAAUACGUAGGGGGCAAGCGUUAUCCGGAUUUACUGGGUGUAAAGGGAGCGUAGACGGCGGCGCAAGUCCGGAGUGAAAGCCCACGGCCCAACCGUGGGACUGCUCUGGAAACUGUGCGGCUUGAGUGCGGGAGGGGCAGGCGGAAUUCCUAGUGUAGCGGUGAAAUGCGUAGAUAUAAGGAAGAACACCAGUGGCGAAGGCGGAUGACUGGACGGCAACUGACGGUGAGGCGCGAAAGCGUGGGGAGCAAACAGGAUUAGAUACCCGCGUA
rnacentral:rRNA from 1 species